UACAGCUCACAAUUCUCUGAUGGGCUUGCCUACUCAUUUAGCCCUUCAUGAAGUCCCUGAGCUGCCUUUUUCAUCUGGAGUCUCCAUGCACAACGGUGAAAAGUGCAUCUUUUAUCUCACCUGAGACAGUGUCUUGCUGUAUCACAAAGCCAGAUCCAGUGCUGGGAUCACAGCUUGUUGCAGCCUCCAACUCCUGGGCUCAUGGAAUCCUCUUGCCUCAGCUUCCCUAGCAGCUGGAACUACAGGGAAUCCAAAUUCUCAUAAAUUCUUGUUCCUGGUAAAUAGCCAUCUAGCAAGUCCUGAUCCUGAUUCUCAGCCUCUAUUAAGGUCCAGAUCAGCAACUAUCCUCAUGGAAAAAUGGUAAGAAAUCUUCAGUUGCUUCACCACUCCCUGGAGAAC
rnacentral:lncRNA from 10 species